CUUGACCCGUCUUGAAACACGGACCAAGGAGUUUAUCGUGUGCGCAAGUCAUUGGGUGUUGRAAACUCAAAGGCGCAAUGAAAGUAAAGAAUCCGCAAGGAUACGACGUGUGAUCUGAGNAANCACGAUUGCCUGGAGCAACAUGGCCCCAUUCUGGUYSCUUGCGACGGGGUGGAGGAAGAGCGUACGCGGUGAGACCCGAAAGAUGGUGAACUAUUCCUGAGCAGGAUGAAGCCAGAGGAAACUCUGGUGGAAGUCCGAAGCGAUUCUGACGUGCAAAUCGAUCGUCUGACUUGGGUAUAGGGGCGAAAGACUAAUCGAACCAUCUAGUAGCUGGUUCCUUCCGG
rnacentral:rRNA from 1 species